CGUUUAAAUAAACUUACAAUAAAAGGUGCUUAUUUUCUACACAUCCGCUUGUCACGUCUGUCAGCCAUGUACUAAUCGUAUUCGCGGCAAAAUACGCUAGUUCAUCACGGAACCUUUAGAUGUCUCAUCACGUUACAGCGAUUGGUUCGUGUGUGGAUGGAGCGACGAUAUUGUUUACAUUACCGACGAAAGAAAAAGAGAAAACCAACGGAGGGACGAUUACCCGCGUUUUUGUUCAAAAUCGAUUUACUCACCAAGAGUUUUAACACGUGGGCUAUUCGAUCCCACGCGAUCGUUUAUAUAACACAAAAGAGAUGCACGUAAACAUCUAUGCGAUGGAAGACGAAAUACGGCGCCAUUUCAAUCCUGUAUAGCAUUUUGUUUAUCAGACCAGCACGUCAGCCAUCUUAAUAAACGAACUUCGAGCGCUUGCGCUCUUUCCCACGUCAAAUGAGGACGCGUAACUGGCGUAAAUUGAAACCGACAGAAACUAACGGUGGCGCCACGAAUGACGGAAACUGCCGUUCUGCGUAUUGGUAAAGAAGGAACUCUAGAAGGUAUCUUUAAUAUACAUAUUCUUACCUCUAAAAUGGCUCGAAGACGAUAAUCGUCAACUGCAUUAAGUAUCUCAGCACGUGUCAGUCUUCCACUCUCUUGAAGUACUUCAAUAUCAUCCAGAGAGUCUAAAAUUUCAG